UACAGAGGUCCCAAGCGUUGUUCGGAUUCAUUGGGCGUAAAGGGUGCGUAGGCGGCGCGGUAAGUCGGGUGUGAAAUCUCGGGGCUUAACUCCGAAACUGCAUUCGAUACUGCCGUGCUUGAGGACUGGAGAGGAGACUGGAAUUUACGGUGUAGCGGUGAAAUGCGUAGAUAUCGUGAGGAAGACCAGUGGCGAAGGCGGGUCUCUGGACAGUUCCUGACACUGAGACACGAAGGCCAGGGGAGCAAACGGGAUCAUAGACUACCGUGAUCAGCCAGA
rnacentral:rRNA from 1 species